CACUUCACGCGUUAGCUUCGUUACUGAGUCAGUGAAGACCCAACAACCAGUUGACAUCGUUUAGGGCGUGGACUACCAGGGUAUCUAAUCCUGUUUGCUCCCCACGCUUUCGUGCAUGAGCGUCAGUACAGGCCCAGGGGAUUGCCUUCGCCAUCGGUGUUCCUCCGCAUAUCUACGCAUUUCACUGCUACACGUGA
rnacentral:rRNA from 1 species